AUUGAACGCUGGCGGCAGGCCUAACACAUGCAAGUCGAAUGGUAACAGGAAACAGCUUGCUGUUUCGCUGACGAGUGGCGGACGGGUGAGUAAUGUCUGGGAAACUGCCUGAUGGAGGGGGAUAACUACUGGAAACGGUAGCUAAUACCGCAUAACGUCUCAAGACCAAAGAGGGGGACCUUCGUGCCUCUUGCCAUCAGAUGUGCCCAGAUGGGAUUAGCUAGUAGGUGGGGUAACGGCUCACCUAGGCGACGAUCCCUAGCUGGUCUGAGAGGAUGACCAGCCACACGGGAACGGAGACACGGUCCAGACUCCUACGGGAGGCAGCAGUGGGGAAUAUUGCACAAUGGGCGAAAGCCUGAUGCAGCCAUGCCGCGUGUAUGAAGAAGGCCUUCGGGUUGUAAAGUACUUUCAGCGGGGAGGAAGGGAGUAAAGUUAAUACCUUUGCUCAUUGACGUUACCCGAAGAAGAAGCACCGGCUAACUCCGUG
rnacentral:rRNA from 1 species